UAGGACACAGCCCUUUGAUUUCCGUGGCUCGCGGUCUAUUGUGUGAGAGGGAACGACACACACAACAAACCGACUGUGCUAACGGCUGUGUGAGCGUCACGGUGUCAGGAUGGCCAGUGCUGUGGAGACGUCUGAGAGGGCAGCGCCAGGGAGGAGGUGGGUGUGAGCUGAGCCUUGGAGGAUGAGUAUAGAGAGAAAGGUGCUCCAGCCUGAGGAAAGCAGGAGAAAAGGGAGGGGACAGGAGCCUGUCAGGUUUGUCCACCAGUGGGGAGUGGUCUGCUGAGGCUGGAGCAGGCCAGCACAAAGGGAUGUGUAGCAGGUGAGGGCAGGCACAGGCCAGAGGCUGAGGACAAAGCCCUCUGAUGUCCAUGCCAUUCCCACCUGGUCUUUCUGAUGGAGACAAGGGCAGGGAAGAGAAAAGCAGAGUCAGGUGGUAUCCCGCCUUUUAUCUGCCUGAAAACUCUCCCCACACCUGUAUCCUGGGUCACAAUUGGAGGUUGCCAGUUCUUUCUGUAGCAACACACCCAAUAAACACCAAGUUCUUAUAAUGAAAUCUUAAAUUAAGCUGCAGCCUUAAUCCAGCCACAUGAAGUCAUGACCUAGGAGAGAUGCUUCCUUUUAACUUCUGCUUUCCUGACCUCAAGUUUUAUUUUGUCUUUAUGUGCCAGAUUCAAAGAAAAUCUAGACGUUUCUAAAGCCCAGAGAGAGGGAUAUGACGAAGGUCACCAAGAGACAAAGGGAUGACUGUAAACACUGAGGACUGUACAUUUGUGAGGGCAGAAGGCACAUCUGCCUCUUCUGUGUUCCCAGCACCCAGCACAUAGUAGGUGCUCAAUAAUAAUUUCCUGAAUGACUGAAUGAAUAAGCCAUCACACUCGGGCAGUUAUUUACCUUUGUGCCAAACUUCAGCAAGAGAAUCCCUACCUUAAAAUGUUUACACGGAUUAGAUUUAUGGUUAAUGACUGACCCAGGUUAAUCAACUACCCUUGUUUCAUAAGGGAGUUUCAUAAACUCCCUUAACAAUGAUCUUGAUUUAGGUUGGAGAGGAGAAAAACAGCACAGGCUCUGGGCAGAAGGGCGUCAUGACAGAUGUUGGGGGUCUUGUCUGGGAGGCAGGGAGACAGACCCAGCAUGUGCCCAUGGUUGAAGGUGUAGUCUCUGAUCUGCAGCAUUGCUAGGAAUCUCAUCAGACCUUUCCUCUGUGAGUCUCAUCUGGACUGCACAGAAUCGCCAUUUUUCAAAAGGAAACUGAAUCUCAAAGCCCAAGUGACUUGGUCAACAUCACACAUCUGGUUAGUGCAAAACCUGUUAUGCAAUGCUGGGUUUUGAGUCAUGUGUGGACUACCUGUUGAGGGACUGCCAUUGGCAGAACUCACUGUAUGAGAUGCUGGAAGGAACGUGACAGAGUGUGCUCUCAACUGUGGCAGAGGAGACAGGUGUGCAGCACAGGAACAAAGACGAUGGCCAAGGGCCGUGGGAGGAAGAAGGGAGAGGUAACUCGGCAGGGCUCAAGAGGGAGAGGAGAAGAGAUGAACCGUGCUCUGAAGAGGAGAAGCAGCACCUCCACUGGAGCCCUCCUGGGGAAAAGAGAGAAGAGCCUAGGUGAUUAGAAUGGACCGCAUCUCCUCUCCAUCAGAGUUUAGAUGGGGGAUCGACUUCAUCUUUUUCAUCCUGUGGGCCUCAAGAUGACAAAGCAUCUGCCAUAUGGCACACUGCUGGUCAAAUGGCAAAAGAAGAAGAGAAGAUGACAGAGCCUCUGUGGAUUCUUGCAGCUUCCACUCAGAAAUGACCUCUUCCUUCCACUCCACUUCAUUGCCCAAUGUGAGGUACAGGCCAGCGCUGACACCAAGGGUUGGGGUUGCCCACCUACCCCACAUCUGGAAGGAGGGGGAGGGCUGAGGAAUUCCUGAAGAGCCUGGUGACAAUGUCAUUAUCCUACAGCCAACCCAGGAGCUACUAGAGGUUUCUAGAGCUUCCAUUCUCUGGCCAGCUGUGCCUCACUGGCUGCUUCCAGGUUAAUCAACCCAGGAGGCACUGGUUAGCUGGCCUGUGUGACUCUGGACUGGAGUAUCCAGCUAGAUUUCCACCGGCCCUCCAAGAGCUUCCUUUGCUCUCAGGUUCUGGGUUCAGGUUGAGCACGAGAGAAUCUGGAAGAGAUGGAAAGAAGAGGCAAGGCCGCGCUGAGGUGGUGGAGCCCUCGCUUGCUGUCAGUGCAGCCCCUCGGGCUCCUGCCAGGCCACCUGCAGCUGCUCUGAGGCCCGAGCGAAGGGAGCUCCAAUGCAGAGAGUGCCAGCUCCUCCUGGGGUCACGAUGUCACUGAGUCCGAGGCAGUGAAGGCCAGACACGGGUUCCAGCAUGUUCUCCUGGGUGCUGGUCUGUCCUCAUCUGCCCCUUUAUGCCACCCAAGAGCAGCUUCAGACGCAACACCAAGUGCAGAGGCCGAGCGUGGCACAGGCUUCUCCAACAGCUCCCACAAAUGAAAGCGCUGUUCUCCACAACAAAGCCUUACAUCACUCACACUGGUCCUGCCUCUUUGGCCAGAUCCUGUCUGAUUUGCCACUCAAGAACAUAUGUAUGCUCCCCAUCAUCAGAGCAGGAAGACCACAUUCUUCAGCUGAUUCUUCAAAACUCAAAAACCAGGCUCUCCACCCUUUCAGCCCGAUAUUCCUUCACCUCUCACACAGUCGACCCCUCACUAGUGUCUAUAAGGUGUCGCAUUUUGGUUUGUUGCUCAUGCUGUUCUCUGGGGAGACCUGGGACUCUUUUCAAGGCAGCUUAGACACCAUCUCUCUGAAACAGCAUUUCCUGGCCCUUGAAAGGCGUUCUCUCCUUUGCGUCCCACAGCACUUUGUUGGAACCUUUCCCUUGGUAUCUAUCCCUGUCUCCUUUGCAUCCAUGAUAUUUCACAACAAUGUGAGUACUACGAGGGCAGGACUCUGUUGGGUCCUGUCUCCUCAGCUCACACAGAGCUUUCCCGAUAGAGGGUUACUGAACUGAACUGUCACUCAGAAGCCGUCACUUGUCACACCUGGGGACUGGAUCCUGUGCUGCUCCAGGCAGUCAGGGGCUUAGUCUAAACAUGUGGAUGGACACGAGUGGGGAGCAGCUGUAUCUCAUGGCCACGGCCCUGCCUUCCAGGAAGUCACCGAAACAAGUCAGGAGAUAGCAAAGAACCACCAUUUGUGGAGCCAGGAGACCAGGGUUCCAGACCUGGUUCAGCUGCUCUCCCUGUCAAGGUCUUCCUGCUGGCCCUUCCCCUCCAGGAACCACAAAGGCACCUCACACUUAAACUACCCACAGCUGGACUCAUCCCUCUGUCCCCAAAGGUCUGUCACCCUCUCAGGGAACAGCACCAGCACUCCCUCAUCACCCAGCCAGACACCGGGCAGUCAUCAGAGGUGUAUAUAUCUCACACUCACCACCCCACACAUCCAAUCCAUCACCACAGCCCAGAGCCUCCACCUCACAGCAGCUCCUGGUCAGUCCUCUCCUUCCUCUCAUGCCCCUAUCACCACCUCUCUCUCUCAGAUAGUGCAACAGCUAUGCCAGACUCCAACAUCCAUCCUCUGAAAUAACUAAAAGAAAAAAAGAGAAAAAAACCUGUCUGAGAAAAGAAACCAAAAAACCACACCAAUCCAAUAUUACUACUCAUCUGCUUAAAUCCCUCAAAUGUCACCAUUGAUCAUCUCUCCUAGGAUAAAAGCCAGAUCCCAUCUACCUGCCCAACCUCAUCACUGGCUGCUUAUCUCCACCCCACUCCACCCACACACACAUUCCAGACACAGUUCCCUCGUGAAUAUCAGUCUUUCCUAUGCUUCUGUCUCCCCCUUGCUGUUGUCUCUCAUGUCCAAACACCUCUGAACCUUUAGGUAACAUAUACUAGACACUCAUCACACGCCAGGCUAGGCACUAUGCUAGAGUUCUGAGAGCUUUCCCGGCUGGGGAUCAGAUGGGGUGAUGGAAAUCACAGGUGAGGAAUGCAAUAUGGACACUGGGGACCACAGAGACCAGUCCCCCAGCAUCGUAGCAUUAUGACCACGCAUUCAAUCCUCACUCAAUGCCUCCACCCCAGCCCCCUUCCAGAAAGCCCCUUCUGAUCCUUCCUUCCUGGGCGGGGUCUUUCUCAGCUCUGUCUCCCUCUUCAGGGCCUUCUGUGCUCUGCUGACUGUGUCCUGAAUCCCAGCUAUUUAAAUUAUGGGUAUGAAUCAAGAGAUUUUAAAUUUCAUACCUUUUGACCUGACACCUUUACUUCUAGGAGUUACUUUGAGAAAAUUACUAGAGGUGCAAAGAUUUAUGUAAAGCAUAUACAUGGAUGUUAAUCACAGAGUUAUUUGUGGUAACAAAAAUUGGUAAGUCUUAAAGGGCAACCAUAGCGGAAUGUUGAAAUAAAUCCUGAUGGAGCCCAAUGGUAGACUGUGAAAGAGACAUAGAAAUCUUACUUUCUGAAGCCUAUUUGAUAAUUUGAAAUGGUCACACUGUAAUUAAUAGAAAAAACUAGUACAUGUAACUUUGUACUCAGUAUAAUCCUAAUUUUAAGGUAUUUUUCUUAGGAUAUAUGAAUAAGUAUAUAUAUAGAAAAUCCUAGAAAACUGGGACAAAAUAUUAGCUGACAAUUAUUUCCUCUGGGAGAUGGCAUUACAGAUAAAUACUGUUUUCUUAAUUAUUCUUUCCAACAUUGUUCAAUACUUCUAAAAUGAACAUGACUUUGAACUUAAAAGACAGUAUUAUUUUUGAGAAAUGGAAGAUCACAUAGCUCCAAAUAGAGCACAGAGGAGGUGGGCCCAUGCCCAAGGGCAGGAAGUGAGGAAGCACCCAUGGAGCCUGACCCAGAUGGACCGUCAGCAGAGAGGGUGGAGAUGAGACCUCUUGGGGACAUUGGGCUGAUGGCAGAGAUGACUGAGGAAGGAGGAGACUCUGGUUUGAUGCUUGAGCUUCUGGGUUGUUUGGGUGGAUAUCGCACCACCGUGAGAGACACUCUCAGAGAUGGGCAAGAUGAGACAAGCAGGUUAGAGGAGGUGGGAGGACUGGAGAGAGCUUGUUGCGGCAUCCACAGGGUGGCAAGACAGCCCCAGUCCUGAGCACCUGGAGAAUAAGUGGUGACAAUCUUCCAAUAUUUUAUUUUGACCUGUGCUCUUGAAAAAUAUUCCAAGAGACAAAUCAUAGUAUAACGGGAAAAUCUGCAACUGCUGCUGUGUUGUUUAAGGCUAUUCUUUAGUCCCUGAGCUGUGUCAAGUUGUCAUUGUUUCUUGUGAAGGAAAGAGAAUGGCGUGGGAAGGGAAACAGAAAAGCGGACCUGCAGAAACUCACACAACCAGCUAAACCCCUGACUCCACAUCUGUCACAAGUGUCCAGGCCUCACCCCGUAUAGCAAUUCACUUUCCUUAACCUUCCCUGGGGGCUCAGUGGUAAAGAACCCACCUGCAAAUAAAGGAGACACAGAUUCAAUCCCUGGAUUGGGAAGAUCCCCUGGAGAAGGAAGUGGCAACUCAAUCCAGUAUUUCUGUGGAGGAAAUCCCAUGGACAGAGUAGCCUGGUGGGCUAGUCCAUGGGUCCUAUAAGACUCAGACACAACGUAGCAACUAAACUAUAACAACAACCUUUCAUGAGUACAGGUUCCCACAGCACUCUUGCGAGGACACACUCCAUUUCAUAGUCCAGGACCCCCACCUGAAGGACACAGGGUCACAGCCCCUGAAUCUCAGGUCCAAGGAGCAGGGCUGCAGUGAGACCCGGUCUUCAGAUUCCCAUCCAGGGUCUCUCCUGUGCCCACCUCACCCAGCCAGGCCCUUCUGGGGCAUCACAGGAAACCUUGGGUCUCUGAAGCCACAUUGUGCCAAGUCUGCAAACCUGUGUCAUUGUAGAGUCUGAACUUUAAAUUGGGCAGGGACUGCGAGGUCCCUGAGGGCAGGGAGCAGGAGAGAUGUCUACGUGGCAGGGGACCAGGAGACUGGGCCUCGGGGGUUCGGGGCCGCUAUCCUGGCCCACCCCAGCACAGUGUGUCUGCUGGUAAUGAACUCAGCACUCCCUCACUCUGCUCUCCCAUGCCUUGGGUCACCACACCUGUCAUCUGCUCAGCCACCUGCUGAUACCAAGGUCACUGGGCCAACAGGUAGGAGUCAAGGAGAAUCCAUCUAGCAUGUUGACUAUUCUCAUAAAAUCUUUUCUAAACAUAGAGAAACCAGAAUAUCUGCUUGGAGAAGGCAACAUAAUGAUACUAUAAUAUCUACUGCUGCUGCUGCUGCUGCUAAGUCACUUCAGUUGUGUCCGACUCUGUGUGACCCCAGAGAUGGCAGCCCAACAGGCUCCCGCGUCUCUGGGAUUACUGAACACUCACCCUGUGCCAAGUUCUUUGCUAAGACCUUUCACUGGAUCCUCAAAAUCAUACCAUGAGAAAAUGCUACUCUUAUUUCUACAGCUGUGAGAACUGGUGAUGCCCCAGAGGGUGGAGCCAGGGUCUCUGAGGAUGACAACCUGGAACAGAGCCCCCUGAAAACCUGCAAUGCUACAAAGGCUGAGAACUAAACCUCCAUCCUGGUAAGUCACUAAAAUCAUGAGGUUGUGUGUUACUCUAGGAAAACUCUGCUCAUCUUUUUUUUUCUCCACUGUAAAAUCUAUUUUUAUUUUCAGACCUUAAACUUCUGUAUUGGGGUGUAGCCGAUAAACAAUACUGUGGCAGUUUCAGGUGAACAGGGAAGUGACUCGGCCAUAGAUACACAUGUAGCCAUUCACCCCCAACCCCUUCCUGUCAUCCAGGCUGUCGCAUAACAUCGAACAGAAUUCCAUGUACUGUGCAAUAUGUCCUUGUUGGUCAUCCGUUUUGAAUAUAGGCAAAACUCAGUUUAUCUCAACUGAUGGACUAAAUGAACUAGAGCUGCUCUCUGUGGUCCCAGACUGAGCCCAUGUUGCCCAAGCUGUCAGUAACCUGGAAGCAUGGUAUUUCCUAAACACAGUAUCUCAUUUCUUUGGGGUCAUAAGCCCAUUGCCUCAUGGGCUGUUCCUAAUUUCUGAAUGAAUGUGUUCUGAUAAGACUUACAUUGCAAGGAAACCCACUGCUCUCCUCAUUCAGCACUUCAGAGAGAAGUUCUAGCAUGCAGCAGAUGGCACCCCCAUGGUUGUGACCCUGUGACCUCCACAUGGACAUCCUGGGCUCUGAAAUGGGGUGUAUCCUGGCAAUCGUGCUGUGGGAACCUGCACUAAUGAAAGGUUGUUUUAGUCCUCCCAGCAAUCACAUCCUGCGUGUGCAUGUGGGGAAAAGGAAAGGAGGGUGAUCUGAAGGUAAGAAAUCUGGGAUCAGGAUUUUAUCAGAAGGAAAGCUCAGGGUCUCAAACGGCAGCUCCUGUGUCAGGCACUGGAUAGGUUGGGGGUAAAUAGGACACAGCCCUUUGAUUUCCGUGGCUCGCGGUCUAUUGUGUGAGAGGGAACGACACACACAACAAACCAAAUGUGCUAAUGGCUGUGUGAGCAUCACGGUGUCAGGAUGGCCAGUGCUGUGGAGACGUCUGAGAGGGCAGCGCCAGGGAGGAGGUGGGUGUGAGUUGAGCCUUGGAGGAUGAGUAUAGAGACAAAGGUGCUCCAGCCCGAGGAAAGCAGGAGAAAAGGGAGGGGACAGGAGCCUGUGCGGUUUGUCCACCAGCGGGGAGUGGUCUGCUGAGGCUGGAGCAGGCCAGCACAAAGGGAUGUGUAGCAGGUGAGGGCAGGCACAGGCCAGAGGCUGACAAAGCCCUCUGAUGUCCAUGCCAUUCCCACCUGGUCUCUCUGAUGGAGACAAGGGCGGGGAAGAGAAAAGCAGAGUCAGGUGGUAUCCCACCUUUUAUCUGCCUGAAAACUCUCCCCACACCUGUAUCCAGGGUCAAAUUGGAGGUUGCCAGUUCUUUCUGUCAGAGAAGACAAUGGCAACUCACUCCAGUACUCUUGCCUGGAAAAUCCCAUGGACUGGGGAGCCUGGUGAGCUGCAGUCCAUGGGGUCAGGGAGU